UUAAUACCGCAUACGCCCUACGGGGGAAAGAUUUAUCGGGGAUGGAUGAGCCCGCGUUGGAUUAGCUAGUUGGUGGGGUAAAGGCCUACCAAGGCGACGAUCCAUAGCUGGUCUGAGGGAUGAUCAGCCACAUUGGGACUGAGACACGGCCCAAACUCCUACGGGAGGCAGCAGUGGGGAAUAUUGGACAAUGGGCGCAAGCCUGAUCCAGCCAUGCCGCGUGAGUGAUGAAGGCCUUAGGGUUGUAAAGCUCUUUCACCGAUGAAGAUAAUGACGGUAGUCGGAGAAGAAGCCCCGGCUAACUUCGUGCCAGCAGCCGCGGUAAUACGAAGGGGGCUAGCGUUGUUCGGAAUUACUGGGCGUAAAGCGCACGUAGGCGGAUAUUUAAGUCAGGGGUGAAAUCCCGCAGCUCAACUGCGGAACUGCCUUUGAUACUGGGUAUCUUGAGUAUGGAAGAGGUAAGUGGAAUUCCGAGUGUAGAGGUGAAAUUCGUAGAUAUUCGGAGGAACACCAGUGGCGAAGGCGGCUUACUGGUCCAUUACUGACGCUGAGGUGCGAAA
rnacentral:rRNA from 1 species